rnacentral:rRNA from 1 species
UACGUAGGGUGCGAGCGUUAAUCGGAAUUACUGGGCGUAAAGUGUGCGCAGGCGGCCGCGCAAGUCGAGUGUGAAAUCCCCGAGCUUAACUUGGGAAUUGCGCUCGAAACUACGUGGCUGGAGUGUGGCAGAGGAAGGUGGAAUUCCACGUGUAGCGGUGAAAUGUGUAGAGAUCGGGAGGAACACCGGUGGCGAAGGCGGGUCUCUGGGCAUUUCCUGACGCUGAGGCGCGAAAGCGUGGGGAGCAAACGGG